GAUGAAGAACGUAGCGAAAUGCGAUAAGUAAUGCGAAUUGCAGAAUUCAGUGAGUCAUCGAAUCUUUGAACGCACAUUGCGCCCUGUGGUAUUCCGCAGGGCAUGCCUGUUCGAGCGUCAUUUCAACCCUCAAGCCUCGCUUGUGUUGGGCCCUGCCCGCCGCGGCCGGCCCUAAAGAUAGUGGCGGCGCCGCCUGGCCCUCAGCGUAGUACAGCUCUCGCUCCAGGGUCCGGCGGCAGCCUGCCAGAACCCCCCAACUCUGUGGUUGACCUCGGAUCAGGUAGGGAUACCCGCUGAACUUAAGCAUAUCAAUAAGCGGAGGA
rnacentral:misc_RNA from 1 species